rnacentral:rRNA from 1 species
CAACUCGGCUGCAUGAAGCUGGAAUCGCUAGUAAUCGCGGAUCAGAAUGCCGCGGUGAAUACGUUCCCGGGUCUUGUACACACCGCCCGUCACACCAUGGGAGUAGGUAAUGCCCGAAGUCGGUGACCUAACCGGAAGGAAGGAGCCGCCGAAGGCAGGACUUAUAACUGGGGUGAAGUCGUAACAAGGUAGC